GAGUUGUUACAAACAACUCUCAGGAGGUUUCGCUAAUGAAAAAUUGGUGAAAGACAGUAACAGCAAAUGUCAGUGUGGAUACACUCAGGAAACUCAACGCGUGACCCCAGAAAGAAGAGUGACCUGUCCCUUAAUGGAAACCCUCUCCUUGCUGCUGAGAAGUGGUUCAAGAAGUCACUGGACUUUAUCUUGACAUUUCACAUUUACCUUUGCUCAAAUGGUCAGGCUGAGCGUGAGGGAGGCAGCUGCCAUGAGCCACCACACAAUGAUGUAUCCAACAUGUUUCAAUGGGGAGGUGUGGUUUUUUUCCUUGGGCAAGGAAGAAUAAAACUCCUUUGGCAGCAGAAGAGUUGAGGCUGGACAGUCUCAGGAACAACUUAGCAGGGCACAAGGUAGGAUCAGAAUAAAGUGGCUUCACUGAAGUGAGACUGUUUGCUGCUGAUAGCUCCUGCUGCCUGCUGACGCUGCCAGGCCCCAGGCAAGAAGUGUAUUCAUAAAAGAAUGUAAAUUGGAUCUCUCAGUAUAUUCAAGUAUUUAACUCACUGCCUGCACUGGUCAAAGUCACAGGCUUGGGCAAGGACUAUCAGACUGCUGCUUGAAAAUACUUUCCUGGAAAAACACCGUAAUAAGAGAUUGCUCUUGUCGAGAACCUGAGUCUCGGCUGUGUUUUUGGUUUGCAUGGAUCUAUUCAGAAUCAGGACUGGCCUUAAGCAGCCUUCCAGGGGUGAGAGAUACAAGCUGGAGUCGAGUUUUAAGUGAGGUAGAUGGUUUUAUUUGUGAAUACAAGUUGUUUUAAGGUGUUUUGAGUCAUCACAGAGAGUUCAAGAAGGGUGAAGCUGUUUGCAUACACAUAUCUAGAGACAGGAUUAUGUAGUUCUUGAAUGACUGGUUUGAUCAGCAAUGUUUACUCUCACGUUCUUUUGCUUGUCUUUUCAGAGAACAGAGAAAAAUGCUUUAUAUAAGUUCACUUAAUAUUUCCUACAACGUUUUUUAACUUGGCCUUUUUUAGCAUUUGGACUUCAAAAGCAGGGCACCGAACUAUCAUUUGGUUAUCAACCUUACUAUAUCACUUCACUACUGCAAGAAAAUACUCCCAACACAUGAAUACCAAUUAGUCCACGGUUGUUUAUAAAGUGCAUAAUGGCUGGAGUAGAUCAAUACAUAUAACAAAUACAUGAACCACAGGGCAACCUGGCAAAUAUGGAAUAAAGAAAAUAUGACAGCUUAGAUUCUUUAUAGAGGCAUAAACCCCAACUCCCACUGAGAUAAUAAAAAUAAUAAAGUUUUCA